rnacentral:ncRNA from 14 species
AAUUAUGGUGAUUGCGACGGUUCUCCUUCGGGAGAUCAAAAGGGAAUACGGUGCGGGGUCUCCCCAAUGCCGUGGCUGCCCCCGCAACUGUAAGCGGCGAGCCUUCGCCAAAUGCCACUGGGCCUGCAGGCCUGGGAAGGCGGCGAUGGGCAACGACCCGCAAGCCAGGAGACCUGCCGUCAGUCGUGGUCACACG